AACGAACGCUGGCGGCGUGCCUAACACAUGCAAGUCGAACGUGAUUGGAAGCUUGCUUCCAUGAAAGUGGCGCACGGGUGAGUAACGCGUAGAUAAUCUGCCUGGUGAUCCGGGAUAACACUUCGAAAGGGGUGCUAAUACCUGAUAAGCCCACGGGGUCUUCGGACUCUGCGGGAAAAGGGGGGGACCUUCGGGCCUUCUGUCACCAGAUGAGUCUGCGUACCAUUAGCUAGUUGGUAGGGUAAAGGCCUACCAAGGCGACGAUGGUUAGCUGGUCUGAGAGGAUGAUCAGCCACACUGGAACUGAGACACGGUCCAGACUCCUACGGGAGGCAGCAGUGGGGAAUUUUGCGCAAUGGGGGAAACCCUGACGCAGCAACGCCGCGUGAGUGAUGAAGGCCCUUGGGUCGUAAAGCUCUGACAGAGGGAAAGAAAUGUGGGUGGCUAAUAUCCAUACCACUUGACGGUACCCUCAAAGGAAGCACCGGCUAACUCCGUGCCAGCCGCCGCAGUAAAAC
rnacentral:rRNA from 1 species